rnacentral:rRNA from 1 species
GAUGAACGCUGGCGGCGUGCCUAAUACAUGCAAGUCGAGCGAACGGACGAGAAGCUUGCUCUUCUGAUGUUAGCGGCGGACGGGUGAGUAACACGUGGAUAACCUACCUAUAAGACUGGGAUAACUUCGGGAAACCGGAGCUAAUACCGGAUAAUAUUUUGAACCGCAUGGUUCAAUAGUGAAAGACGGUCUUGCUGUCACUUAUAGAUGGAUCCGCGCUGCAUUAGCUAGUUGGUAAGGUAACGGCUUACCAAGGCAGCGAUGCAUAGCCGACCUGAGAGGGUGAUCGGCCACACUGGAACUGAGACACGGUCCAGACUCCUACGGGAGGCAGCAGUAGGGAAUCUUCCGCAAUGGGCGAAAGCCUGACGGAGCAACGCCGCGUGAGUGAUGAAGGUCUUCGGAUCGUAAAACUCUGUUAUUAGGGAAGAACAUAUGUGUAAGUAACUGUGCACAUCUUGACGGUACCUAAUCAGAAAGCCACGGCUAACUACGUG